rnacentral:rRNA from 1 species
CCCUUAGAUGUUCUGGGCCGCACGCGCGCUACACUGACGAAUUCAACGAGCUUAUAACCUUGGCCGAAAGGUCUAGGUAAUCUCCAAAAUUCGUCGUGAUGGGGAUAGAUUAUUGCAAUUAUUAAUCUUCAACGAGGAAUGCCUAGUAAGCGCAAGUCAUCAGCUUGCGUUGAUUACGUCCCUGCCCUUUGUACACACCGCCCGUCGCACCUACCGAUUGAAUGGUCCGGUGAAAUCUCCGGACUGGCGUGAGUCGGAGCAAUCUGACAAACACCGGAAAGUUGAUUAAACCUUACCAUUUAGAGGAAGGUGAANUCGUAACA